rnacentral:rRNA from 1 species
UACGGGGGGGGGCAAGCGUUGUUCGGAAUUACUGGGCGUAAAGGGCUCGUAGGCGGCCAACUAAGUCGGAUGUGAAAUCCCCAGGCUCAACUUGGGAACUGCAUCCGAUACUGGAUGGCUUGAAUUCGGGAGAGGGAUGCAGAAUUCCAGGUGUAGCGGUGAAAUGCGUAGAUAUCUGGAGGAAUACCGGUGGCGAAGGCGGCAUCCUGGACCGACAUUUGACGCUGAGGAGCGAAAGCUAGGGGAGCAAACGGGG